GAUGAACGCUGGCGGCGUGCCUAAUACAUGCAAGUCGAGCGAACGGACGAGAAGCUUGCUUUUCUGAUGUUAGCGGCGGACGGGUGAGUAACACGUGGAUAACCUACCUAUAAGACUGGGAUAACUUCGGGAAACCGGAGCUAAUACCGGAUAAUAUUUUGAACCGCAUGGUUCAAAAGUGAAAGACGGUCUUGCUGUCACUUAUAGAUGGAUCCGCGCUGCAUUAGCUAGUUGGUAAGGUAACGGCUUACCAAGGCAACGAUGCAUAGCCGACCUGAGAGGGUGAUCGGCCACACUGGAACUGAGACACGGUCCAGACUCCUACGGGAAGCAGCAGUAGGGAAUCUUCCGCAAUGGGCGAAAGCCUGACGGAGCAACGCCGCGUGAGUGAUGAAGGUCUUCGGAUCGUAAAACUCUGUUAUUAGGGAAGAACAUAUGUGUAAGUAACUGUGAACAUCUUGACGGUACCUAAUCAGAAAGCCACGGCUAACUACGUG
rnacentral:rRNA from 1 species